rnacentral:tRNA from 1 species
UAGCCUAGUGGUUAAGGCUAUGGACCGCCAAUCCGGAGACGACGGGUUCAAUUCCCGU